rnacentral:tRNA from 2 species
GCGGGUGUGGCGGAAUUGGCAGACGCGCUAGAUUUAGGAUCUAGUGUCUUGCGACGUGGGGGUUCAAGUCCCUCCACCCGCACCA